GGACCUGGCGUGUGAAAAACCAUACUCAAGCUUGCUGCCCUGUGCACGGAUGGACUGUCAAAACUCACCUGCAGCAGUCUCACAGGCCCAGAGAAACAGAUUCCAGCACCCACGCUCGACAGCCAGCUGUAGCUUCAGUCCACAUUCGACAGCCAGUGAUAUGGACAUUGCUACUGUGGUCCACACUCAAAGACCAACAAUACCAGCAUCGAUGCUCUGCUCUGAGCUUGAAGACCAGCAAUGUGGACGGGUGAUAAAGAGCAACUAUAGAUAUCAGGCUCUCCCAGGGUGGCAGCAAUCUGGAACACACUGCCUGAGAGGUGGCUGGAGGCAGGAGCUCCGACAGAACUUUUAGGAAACAUCUGGCUCAGCACUUGAAUUGCCAAGACACCGCAGGCUGCGGCCCAAGUGGGAUUAGCUCUGCCGAGCGCUGUGGGCAUGCUACGCUGGUGUCAGGAUGUGUGUCAGCACUUGUGGGCUGCCCCCAGCACAACCAUGGGUGCAGUGGUACGUUGUGCAAGCGACACAUCUCACCUUAUGUCUCCAUGUGCACGUGGUAAAUAAAUCUGAGUCUGCAUCCCCUCGGUUACCAAGCAGGAGCGGCAAGCGUUUCGGAACACCAUUUCCUGGCGUCCCCUCCGAGAGCUGGGAAAUGCUGCUUUUCCUCCGUGGUUGAAAGCUCGAGAUCUGGGAGCUUCCUUCCCACCAGUACCUCCACCUCGCAGGCCGCAGAGGCACACGAGGACAGGUCGCCCCCCCCCAGCUUCUGGAGAUGGCAAACCUGUUUGUGCAUUACCUCAGAGGACAACGCAGAAUCAAAGAGGCUCCACAGAGUUUUAAAACUGUUUUUAAUUCGUACACCAUGGGUUCCACCAGGUUGUGUGAUGAAUGGGCCCUGAUCUCCGGCUGCAGUCACAGUAACCCUGACGCGGCAUUAGUGAGGUGGCUGGCCUCUUGCUUCCUUAGGGCUUCUUGCCUUGUGAGGUUCACAAUGCAAUGAAAACAGCAGAAUGUCACUUCCCUAGGUCACAGUCUCUGCACUGUUCCUUCUUCAGCAGGAAUGGCACCUCCUCGGCCGAAGCCACGGGAAGGAAGGCUGUGUUUUCUCCGGCU